rnacentral:rRNA from 1 species
AACGAACGCUGGCGGCAUGCCUACCCAUGCCAGUCGCACGAGACCUUCGGGUCUUGUGGCGCACGGGUGCGUAACGCGUGGGAACCUGCCCUUAGGUUCGGAAUAACUCCCCGAAAGGGGUGCUAAUACCGGAUAAUGUCUUCGGACCAAAGAUUUAUCGCCUUUGGAUGGGCCCGCGUUGGAUUAGCUAGUUGGUAGGGUAAAAGCCUACCAAGGCGACGAUCCAUAGCUGGUCUGAGAGGAUGAUCAGCCACACUGGGACUGAGACACGGCCCAGACUCCUACGGGAGGCAGCAGUGGGGAAUAUUGGACAAUGGGCGAAAGCCUGAUCCAGCAAUGCCGCGUGAGUGAUGAAGGCCUUAGGGUUGUAAAGCUCUUUUACCCGGGAUGAUAAUGACAGUACCGGGAGAAUAAGCUCCGGCUAACUCCGUG